ACCGGCAUAAGGAUACUGGUUCGAGCCCCCGGCUCCCCACUUGCAGGGGAGUCACUUCACGGGCGGUGAAGCAGAUCUGCAGGUGUCUGUCUUUCUCUACCCCUCUCUGUUUUCCCUUCCUCUCUCCAUUUCUCUCUGUUCUAUCCAACAAUGACAUCGGUAACAACAACAAUGAUGACCACAACAACGAUAAAGCAACAAGGGCAACAAAAGGGGGAAAAAAUGGUUUCCAGGAGCAGUGGAUUCGUGGUGCAGGCACCGAGCCCCAGCAAUAACCCUGGAGGCAAAACAAAAAAGAAAAAGAAAAAAGAAAUUAAGGCCCUGUGCAGCAAAAUAUUUAUACAACUGCUAGGACCACGCAGCAGGGUGUGGAGGCGGAGAAAGAGGAGGAGUAAAAACUGUUUACAAACGAUGUACUCACGCAGCCCCAUCCGUUAGGUUCUAGAAUUGGGGGGUUAGGACCUUGGGAUGUGAAGGCGCUCUGAUGCCCAGGGUCCAUACAUCUGGCCGAUGUCCACCCAAAUCUUAAUUUUAUGAUCAACAGAUGGGGUCCUGCGCUCCGGUCAUAGGAUAAAUUGCCUUCUCCGCCCACCCCACCCCCCAAAUCUCAGCUACAUGCCAGGCUCCGGAAGCUUUGCUUGAGGAAUAGAGGGGGUUCAUACCUACCCUCAGCAUCUCAGCAAAGAAAAUCUCUCCCUCUUGCCGGUCUUCAAGUUUGCCUCGCUCCUAACAGACCACCCCUCCCGCCCCCUUGGGUGGAGCAAGAGGAGAUGGAUGCGACAUUCCAGGUCCAACGAAGGAGCACCCCAGAACGCUAACAAACUGCAGCUUGCGGAGGGGGGCAGCUGAGCACCCGGUGUUGGCUGCAUAAACUACCACAUCUCAGUAGAAAAGCAGCUGGAUUCUGUCACAAGAAAAAAAAUUAUCAAGUGACCUCUCUCUCAAGAGCAAGAGGAAAAAUUACAACUUGCAAGAUGAUUAGGGGAUAGUACUGCCUUUAACAUGCUGUUGAGAUGAUUCAAAUCAGGUAAGACACAAAAGGGUAGUGUUCUAUACCUGUGUAUUAUAAAUCUAAUUCAAAAAUCAAACGAAUGACUUUCACACAGCAACACUUGAUGUAGUUACUGUCACUAAUUGGCUCAUCCAUGAAAUGUUUAUGAUGUACUCUCACACAUAUAUGUCAUGGUGGAUCACUAUGACUAGGAAGUGAAUCCUCAUAGUUUGCAGGGUGGACAUGAAAGGAAAGAAAAGGGAGAGUAGGAGUUUAUGGAAUGUAUUUUAAUUUCAUCAAUAUUUACUAUGCCGAUACCACACUUUUGGCAAAAUGACAGUGUGCAAAAAAUCAUGGACACAAAUAUGACCUUGCCUACAAGGACAGAACUCCUAUAAUUGGUAUUUAGGAUGGGUAGGACAAUGGAGGAAGGUUAUCUGGAUAUAGAAAACAGAACAACACAAACUAGGAAGGAGUAUGUGGAGAUGCAGGCAUUUAAACUGCACAUGGGUAGAUAUUGAGUCUCCCUUCCUUCCUUCCUUCCUUCCUUCCUUCCUUCCUUCCUUCCUCCCUUCCUCCCUUCCUCCCUCCCUUCCUUCCUUCCUUCCUUCCUUCCUUCCUUCCUUCCUUCCUUCUUUCCUUCCUCCUUCUCUCUCUCCUCAUUCUUUCUUUCCACCAGGGUUACCACUGGGGCUUGGUGCCAGCACUAUGAAUCCACUACUCCUGGUGGCCAUUUAUUAUUAUUUUUUUUAGGUUUCAUUUCUAUUUUAUUUGAUAGGACAGAGAAAUUGAGAGGGUAGGGGAAAGAAGAGAGGAAGAAAGAAAGAUAGAUAGACAUCUGCAGACCUGUUUCAUCAUCUGAGAAGCAUCCCCUUUGUAGGCGGGGACUGGGGGCUUGAAUUUGUCACCUUGUGCAUUGGUAAUGUGUACGCUUAACUAGGUGUGCCAACAUCUGGCUCCAAGCUUUUACUUUUUAAAUGUCUUGUUUAUCGCCUUUGCUUGGUGAAAACCACAAUACCACCCAAUAUCUAUCUGCAAGACUAUGUCCUCUGAAAUCUUUCAGAAUCACUGUGAAUGUCAUCUGUGUAGAAUUCCUAUACCACUUAUUAGAAAGUGCUGGGUCACUUAGGUGACUGGUUGAUACUCAUCAGAUUUCAGUCUGUUUCAAUACACACAGGACUUCUUGAGUGAUGGCAGCCACACAAAUGAACCAAAGUAUCUCUCACAUGGCAUUCACCUACCCACACAAGCUUACAAACACAGCUGUAUAGAAGUUGUGAAAUCAAGAACUAUUUACAUUUUCUUCCUAGCACAUUACUACUACACUAUUUUGAUAGAGACCAAACAAAGGAAUUUCACCAUAACACCAAGAGGUGCAGCUGUGUUUCUAAAUGCCACACAGGGUUUGAAUAAUUCAGAGUUUACAUUAAAUACCUCACAGUAUUAACAAGGUGCAGAAUAAACUGUUUACUGAUGGAAGUCUGCGCCUUCAGAUGAGAUGAAGUCUUCUUAGCAGCUUACGUUUUCAGAUUGGCAAAGCAAGCAGUUAUAGCCAACACCCUUGGGGGCCUGGAGCCCAUUUGUCUUUCAAAGAAACCAGGUACAACCAGGCAGCUGAAGCUGUUCAAAUACAGUACAGAAACACGGCAAGUGUUUGGCUUCUGUCAGAGGGACCAGAAUCUUAGCUCUCCAUACUUAAACACUAAGGAUGUUUGUUUUCAUGUUCUUUACCAGAAUGAUAAAUGUAGUUUACUCUUUCAAGAGGAUCUUUUGAGGCCAUUUAUUUCCCUUGACCUCAAAUAGAAGCUACAGAGAAAGACUAAUUGUGUUUUAAAAAAAAACAAAACCAAAAACUGGGAACAUUUUGUUAGAAAGUAGGCUUUAGGCCAUGUGCUAACAUUGGGAAGCAUUGAUGGGAAUUCUCAGGUUCUAAUCCUAGAGCAAAACUGGGUCACUAGAGGUUGAUCAUGUUUGAUGAUGAAAGAACAUCUCAAUAGUUUUAUUUCUAAGAGCAGAAUAUGGUAUUUUGUGUGAUCCUCCUUGAUCAUUAUAUUUGUAGAUUUUGAUGGGCCACUAACUAAUUUAAAGGCAGUAAAAAAAGAAACUAUAUAGUGUAACUUUCAGUUCUCUUGGGUCUUUAUUUUUUCCUUUUGAUUAAAGAAGAUAGAGUAAAAGUUUCUAGAAUUUAUUCUGUCUGUUAAUACUCUGGUGGCAUUUACAUGUAACUGAAAUUUGUUGUAAAUCCUCCUUAAUCUUUUUGCUUGUGAAUUGCUAGAAAAUGUUGGGACACUUUAUUUUGGCCUGACCCCAGUUCCAUUUAAAAUGCCAGACACAGCAAGGCUGAAUUUGUUCAUGUUCACUUGAGAACAGGGAAGCACAGGAAGUUGUGUAAGGGUUUUGGAAAUGGAUGAGGUGAGGGCAUAGGGCAUGGGGAAGGAUCACAACAAAUUCCCAACAAAAUCUAGUUAUUUAUUUAUUUAUUUUUUCUGCCAACCAUGCCUUUCCUUAAAAGGCUAUUUCUAACCUGUAGCAAGUUACAACUGAGGAAUGAUUGUAAAGAUAUGGACUUGAAUUACAUUUCAAAUUCAGUGAGGUUGGGGCAUCUUAUCUUACUGUUAAAAUCAAGGAGAAAGAAUUCCACCCAUCCAAAGUUAAAGUAAUUGAAGGCAGGGGUAGAAUAGACUUAAAAUCACAUAAAAGCUGCAUUUAAAAGGAAAUAGGACACAGGAGACAAAAUUGGACCCUUUUCCUACUCCAUAUAACCAAUCUAUUAAAGAUGGCUUACAGGCUUAAAUGGAAUACCCAGGAACAACAAAAUAAAUUAGAAGAAAGCGAUGAGGAAAAAAAAACUAAUUAAAAUGUUUUGUUCAAUACUUUUUGAGUAUCAUACUCUAAGCACUGAAAACAAAAGGUAUAGACAAGUGAAUUGCUUCAAACUAAAAAGCUUAUGCACAGCUAAAGAAAUAAUCAACAGAAUGAAGAUACAAACUACAGAAUGCUAGAACCAUAUGAUAAGGUGUCAAUAUCCAAAAUAUAUAAGAAACCCAAACAUUUCAAUAAUAAGACAACAAGUAACUCCAUGAAAAAAUGGGUAAAGAACUUGAAGAAAUAUUUAUUUAUUUGUCUCUAGUGUUAUUACUGGGGCUCAGUGCCUGCACUACAAAUCCACUGCUCCCAGAGGCUAUCUUUUUCCCUUUUGUUGCCCUUGUUGUUUUAUCCUUGUUGUGGUUAUUAUUGUUGUUAUUGCUGUCAUUAUUGUUGGAUAUGACAGAUAGAAAUAGAGAGAGGAGGGGAAGACAGAGGGAGAGAGAAAGAUAGACACCUGCAGACCUGCUUCACCACCUGUGAAGCGACUCCCUUGCAGGUGGGGAGCCAGGGGUUCAAACCAGGAUCCUUAUGCAGGUCCUUGCACUUUGCGCCACAUGCGCUUAACCUGCUGUGCUACCACCUGACUAGUAAUGACUAUUAAGACAUGAUUUUCACAGGACUUAUUCAGUCUGUUUCAAUGGAGGUGUCAAAAACAGAUUCAAAACAAGGCAAAUGAGACAAAUCUCUCUCUAUAAAUUUAAACAGAAAAUCUCUAAGAAAAUGGCUUAGUACUCUUGAUAUACUGUAGUCCACAUCUACUCCAACAUGCAUCUUUGAGGAUAUCAAAAGAGGAAAGUGAGAAUCUAUGAAUAGACUGAAGAAGAGGUUUUCUGAGUAAAAGCUGACAGAUUCUAUAUGAUUCCUUGCUUCUUGAGGGUGUUACGGGUGGGUAAUACCACCAUUAACUCAGUGGUCAAGAAUACCAUCUGUUUCGUUUAGCUAAACUCAGAAUAGAUUAUAUAUUUCUCAAAUGUAAAAUGUGUGUGUGUCAGAAGAGAUCCAAAGGCCAACAACAUAAAAAAUGUUCCAAGUCAUUGAUUGUCAAAGAAAUGCAAAUAAAGACAAUUAUGAGAUACUACUACAUUCCUUUGAGAAUGUCAUACAUCAGAAAAGGUAGCAGCAGCAAAUGCUGGAGAGGUUGUGAGGACAAAGGAACCUCCUGCACUGCUGGUGGGAAUGUAAAUUGAUCCUAUGGAGAGCAGUCUGAAGAACUCUCAGAAAUCUAGAAGUGGAUCUACCAUGUGACCCCGCAGUUCCUCUCCUGGAUAUAUAUCCCAAGGAACUAAACAUACCCAUGCAAAAAGAUUUGUAUAUACCUAUGUUCAUAGCAGCACAAUUUGUAAUAGCCAAAACCUGGAAGCAACGCAGAUGCCCAACAACAGAUGAGUGGCUGUGAAAGUUAUGGGCUAUAUACACAAUGGAAUACUACUCAGUUAUUGAAAAAAUCUUCACCUCAUUUUGGAUGGAACUUGAAAGAAUCAUGUUAAGUGAGAUCAGCCAGAAUGAGAAGGAUGAAUAUGGGAUGAUCUCAUUCAUAGACAGAAGUUG